UCCAGCCCGCUGUCUUAGGUUUAAAGCGGGCAUUUUAAAGUUGCAAAAACCCACUGGUUUGCAUCCAUACUGAGAGUUCUCCAAGAUUUGGCGCUUCUGUGUGCUGCCAGCGUUGGUUGGUUCUUAAACUUGAAAGCAGAUAACUUAAGUAGCGUGUCCAGGCUGAAAGAAGCUGCUUGCACUCAUAACCUCCAAAAUCUUGGGGGAUAUUAGGGAACCGCUGGGAGAAAACUGAGCCUUAACUUCUUCUCCUCAUAGGGGAUACUAGGGUAAACUGUACUCGCAAGAAUUACUAAGAAAGUAAUAACUUGAUCAUCAGCUUCUAAAGGCUCUCUAAGAACGAAUUUUGACUUGCUUACCAGGCUACAGCCGGGCUAAUUAUAGUACUUAUCGCCUAGGGCUGGCUGCUAUUUUUCCUCUACUUUUGGAGGUGGGGUGGAUUUACUGCUGUAAUGUAGUUACUCUAGCUUCCAUUGUAUUUUCGCGAAUGGACUAAAAUUACAAUUUCGUAUGCCCCCAAGACGUCCUUAUUGAUGACUUCACUCAUUUCUGAAUAUGCUUCACAGGUGACAUGACCCACUUGAAAGGAGCAGAUAGCGGCUGCUUUGUGGUUUUUGGCUAGCCAGAGUUUAAAUGUGGUGGCUCGCUAAUAUGAACAAAUACAUGUGGUGGUGGACCAUUGAUGAUUGCUGGUCGUUUCUUGCUUAUCAACCGAAUUUGCUUUCUAUAGCUGUAAAGGUUAUCACGACCACGAGUUUCUUUUAAAGAUCUCAUUCUUUCUUGCUCUUUUCUUCUUUUGUUUCUUUCUUGAGCUUUUCACAUGCCACAGAUAAUGGUUUUUGCCUCAAAAUGAAGACUACUGUCUGGCUUGUAAGGCAUUGUUAACAUAUCAGCUGAGGUGAAGGUAGUGGAACCUCUGGGAGUGCCCUUUUUGGGUGUUUCUUUCUUUCCUUGUGGUGUAACUAUUGAUCAUGAUCUGGUUCGUUAACACU